rnacentral:rRNA from 1 species
ACGGGGAGCACCACAACAGGUGGAGCCUGCGGUUUAAUCGGACUCAACGCCGGGAAACUCACCAGAUAAGACAGCUGAAUGAUAGUCGGGCUGAAGACUCUACUUGACUAGCUGAGAGGAGGUGCAUGGCCGUCGUCAGUUCGUACUGUGAAGCAUCCUGUUAAGUCAGGCAACGAGCGAGACCCACGCCAACAGUUGCCAGCUCGUCCUCCGGGAUGGUGGGGACACUGUUGGGACCGCCUCUGCUAAAGAGGAGGAAGGAAUGGGCAACGGUAGGUCAGCAUGCCCCGAAUUAUCUGGGCUACACGCGGGCUACAAUGGGUGGGACAAUGGGUAUCGACACCGAAAGGUGAAGGCAAUCUCCUAAACCCAUCCGUAGUUCGGAUUGUGGGCUGCAACUCGCCCACACGAAGCUGGAAUCUGUAGUAAUCGUGUCUCAAAAUGGCACGGUGAAUAUGUCCCUGCUCCUU